rnacentral:rRNA from 1 species
AAUGAACGCUGGCGGCGUGCUUAACACAUGCAAGUCGAACGAGAACGGAAGACUUCGGUUUUCUUAGUAAAGUGGCGCACGGGUGAGUAACGCGUGGGUAAUCUACCCGAAGGUCUGGGAUAACGUUCCGAAAGGGGCACUAAUACCGGAUGAGACCACAUGCGCUUCGGUGCAAGGGGUCAAAGGUGCUUUAGGGCACUGCCUGCGGAUGAGCCUGCGUGACAUUAGAUUGAUGGUAGGGUAAUGGCCUACCAUAUUGUCUACGAUGUCUAGCUGGUCUGAGAGGAUGAUCAGCCACACUGGGACUGGAACACGGCCCAGACUCCUACGGGAGGCAGCAGUGAGGAAUUUUGCGCAAUGGGGGCAACCCUGACGCAGCAACGCCGCGUGAGUGAUGAAGGCCUUUUGGUUGUAAAGCUCUGUCGCCUGGAAAGAAACCGCAGAUCAGGAAAUGGGUUUGCGCUGACGGUACCAGGAAAGGAAGGACCGGCUAACUCCGUGCCAGCCGCCGCGGUAAUAC